AAGGGAAGGAAGAAGGCAGGGAAACAGCACCUGUCUCUUGCACCUCCAGGGUUUCCUCGCCAACUCUGUGCCGGGACCACCAUGCUGCCGAUGACAACGCUGCUGUGGCUGCUGCUGUGGCCUCUGCCCCCUCCGCUGGGCCUGGCCUCCCCCUCCUCUUCCUCCCCCCACGGCCUUGACCCCCGAGGGGCCCUGACCCUGGAAGACGAAGAAGCCCCCCUAGAGCUGGCCCUUCUGGCGCUGGAGGAAGAGGAAGCGGGCCAAGAAGGGGCGGGCGCCCUCCUCAUGGCCCCCCC